CUGAGGGAUUAUGACUGAACGCCUCUAAGUCAGAAUCCCGCCUGGAAAGCGACGAUGCAUUCGUGCCUCGGCCUCGAGAGGCGUAGCUAGACGGCCGUGUGGCCGUGGAAAGAGCCCGAUUCCGACCCGAGAGGCCGCGGCAAGAGGCGGCCUCGAAGUCGGUGGAUCCUCCUGCUCGAAAGGCGGGGUGCUAAACCAUUCGCAGACGACCUAGUUGAAGAUCGGGGUGUCGUGAUCACUAGAGCAGUACAUCUCACUGCGAUUUGUUGAGAGUAAGCCUCAAGAUCUGUCGGUUUGU
rnacentral:ncRNA from 1 species